rnacentral:rRNA from 1 species
CGUAGGGUGCGAGCGUUAAUCGGAAUUACUGGGCGUAAAGCGUGCGCAGGCGGUUUUGUAAGACAGAUGUGAAAUCCCCGGGCUCAACCUGGGACCUGCAUUUGUGACUGCAAGGCUAGAGUACGGUAGAGGGGGAUGGAAUUCCGCGUGUAGCAGUGAAAUGCGUAGAUAUGCGGAGGAACACCGAUGGCGAAGGCAAUCCCCUGGACCUGUACUGACGCUCAUGCACGAAAGCGUGGGGAGCAAACAGGAUUAGAUACCCUGGUAGUCCACGCCCUAAACGAUGUCAACUGGUUGUUGGGUCUUUACUGACUCAGUAACGAAGCUAACGCGUGAAGUUGACCGCCUGGGGGAGUACGGCCGCAAGGUUG